rnacentral:rRNA from 1 species
UACGUAGGGGGCAAGCGUUGUCCGGAAUUAUUGGGCGUAAAGCGCGCGCAGGCGGUGAUUUAAGUCUGGUGUAUAACCCAAGGGCUCAACCCUUGGUGGCAUUGGAAACUGGAUGACUGGAGUGUAGGAGAGGAAAGUGGAAUUCCACGUGUAGCGGUGAAAUGCGUAGAGAUGUGGAGGAACACCAGUGGCGAAGGCGACUUUCUGGCCUAUAACUGACGCUGAGGCGCGAAAGCGUGGGGAGCAAACAGG